AAUUGUUGGGAGGGCUUUACCUGCAUCCUGGCCCAAACAGGACUAGUCUCAGAACUUAAAAUGGAAGAGGACACUAGACAUUGAUACUCAAAAUCCUAGUAGCAUACAUUGCCGUUCAUAAGAAAAGGCAGAUAGUCCAUACACACUUCCAAGUAGAAAUUUGAUACCAAGAAGAAGAAAAUUUACCAAUUCCAAGGCAAGGUAUGCAUUUGCAAAUAAUCUCUUUCCCUCUUUUAUUAUAGUAGCUUUGAAGUCCAGUCCCUUGACAACUCCUGCACUUCCCAGUCCAUUCAUAAACCACUUCCUUACAAUCCUACAAACAAAACCCAUCAAAGAUUAACCAAUUCUAAUCCCUAAAAACUGAAACAUUUCCCUCGAACUGAAUUCAAAGCUUAUAAAGAAAGGACCUGGAUUUCAGGGUCACAUUGUAGUCGCUUAUCGAUUUCUUCAGGUCCAACAGGGGAAGUAUCAGGGUAAGUCAUGGGAAGGGGAAGAGGUUCAUCGUCGUUAGUCAAAUAACUCUCUGUGUCCCUUGACCAUUUCUUGACCUUGAUGCUACUCCCAGCCGGAGCUUCG
rnacentral:lncRNA from 1 species